rnacentral:rRNA from 1 species
CAGCCGCCGCGGUAAUACGUAGGUCCCGAGCGUUGUCCGGAUUUAUUGGGCGUAAAGCGAGCGCAGGCGGUUAGAUAAGUCUGAAGUUAAAGGCUGUGGCUUAACCAUAGUACGCUUUGGAAACUGUUUAACUUGAGUGCAAGAGGGGGGAGUGGAAUUCCAUGUGUAGCGGUGAAAUGCGUAGAUAUAUGGAGGAACACCGGUGGCGAAAGCGGCUCUCUGGCUUGUAACUGACGCUGAGGCUCGAAAGCGUGGGGAGCAAACAGGAUUAGAUACCCCUGUAGUCCCUGUCUCUUAUACA